GAUGAACGCUGGCGGCGUGCCUAAUACAUGCAAGUCGAGCGAGUGGCGGACGGGUGAGUAAUGCUUGGGAAUCUGGCUUAUGGAGGGGGAUACCUACGGGAAACUGUAGCUAAUACCGCGUACCAUAGGAUGAGCCCAAGUGGGAUUAGGUAGUUGGUGAGGUAAAGGCUAACCAAGCCGAAGAUCUCUAGCUGGUCUGAGAGGAUGACCAGCCACACUGGGACGUGGAAACGGCCCAGACUCUUACGGGAGGCAGCAGUGGGGAAUAUUGCGCAAUGGGGGCAACCUGAGGCAGCCAUGCCGCGUGAAUGAAGAAGUCCUUCGGGUUGUAAAGUUCUUUCGGUAGGGAGGCGUUAACUACAGAAGAAGCACCGGCUAACUCCGUGCCAGCAGCCGCGGUAAUUC
rnacentral:rRNA from 1 species